AGCUCAGAGCAAGAGCACCGCCCUGUCAAGGCGGACGUUGCGGGUUCGAGCCCCGU
rnacentral:tRNA from 1 species